UGAUUAACAAGAUACCAGAAGCCGG
rnacentral:misc_RNA from 1 species